rnacentral:misc_RNA from 1 species
GUUAAAACCAUUUUCGUUUCAUUCUUUUUAUAGUCAUGAGUGAAUAGAUUAGAUCAGCUAUAGAAGAAAAUCACAUAUUCUACUUUCAGGCUCCAACCCGUCUACUUGAAGCCUACCAUAAAAAGGAAAGGGCCAAUAAAAAUCUUGCAAUUAUAUAUCCUCCAUAUUCAUCCUCUCAUGUGCAUGGCUUACUUGUAUUGCUAAAAUACAUAAUUAAGGAAAACCAAUCCCUUUUAUGGGUUCGUGCUGAAAGAAGCAACAGUUGAAAUCAGAACCUGAAAGAAAUGGAAAGCAAAACCAUGGAAGAAGAAACACAUGAGAUCAGAACCCCUCUAAGUAAGUCUCUCUUUGCUUCUUCAUCACCAAUAAUUAGACUCGGUUCUUUUUUCUAAAUAUGUUAAUUAACUAAUUGUUCCUUCUUUUGGUGUUUAUUAAUUUGUAUAGUAACCAAGGAUGAGAAAGUUGAAGAUCCCUCAUCAUCAGAAACCAUAGCAGCAAAUUCUAAAUCCGAGAUUGACCAACUACAAGAAACAGAAGAGAACUCACCAGUCAAACAAGUUGCCUUAACAGUGCCAACCACAGAUGACCCUUCUCUACCAGUCCUCACAUUUCGAAUGUGGGUCUUGGGCACCAUCUCUUGUGUCCUAUUAUCAUUUCUUAACCAGUUCUUUUGGUACCGUACAGAGCCUCUAUCAAUCACAGCUAUCUCUGCCCAGAUUGCUGUGGUGCCUCUUGGCCAACUAAUGGCUGCCAAGAUCACAGAUAGGGUGUUCUUCAAGGGGACUCGCUGGGAAUUCACGUUGAAUCCUGGACCUUUCAAUGUGAAAGAACAUGUUCUCAUCACCAUCUUUGCCAACUCAGGAGCUGGCAGUGUCUACGCCAUUCAUGUUGUUACUGUUGUUAAGAUGUUCUAUAAGAAGCACAUCACAUUCUUUGUUUCCUUGGUUGUUAUCAUCACAACCCAGGUGUUGGGGUUUGGAUGGGCUGGGAUUUUUAGGAAGUACCUUGUGGAACCUGCAGCUAUGUGGUGG